rnacentral:rRNA from 1 species
GUGGGGAAUUUUGGACAAUGGGCGCAAGCCUGAUCCAGCAAUGCCGCGUGCAGGAAGAAGGCCUUCGGGUUGUAAACUGCUUUUGUACGGAACGAAACGGUCCGGGUUAAUACCCUGGGCUAAUGACGGUACCGUAAGAAUAAGCACCGGCUAACUACGUGCCAGCAGCCGCGGUAAUACGUAGGGUGCAAGCGUUAAUCGGAAUUACUGGGCGUAAAGCGUGCGCAGGCGGUUUUGUAAGACAGGCGUGAAAUCCCCGGGCUCAACCUGGGAAUUGCGCUUGUGACUGCAAGGCUGGAGUGCGGCAGAGGGGGAUGGAAUUCCGCGUGUAGCAGUGAAAUGCAUAGAUAUGCGGAGGAACACCGAUGGCGAAGGCAAUCCCCUGGGCCUGCACUGACGCUCAUGCACGAAAGCGUGGGGAGCAAACAGGAUUAGAUACCCUAGUAGUCC